rnacentral:tRNA from 1 species
AGUAAAAUGGCUGAAGUAAUUAAGCGAUAAAUUGUAAAUUUAUUUAUGAAAUUGAAUUUCUUUUACUA